AUGGCCCUCGUGAAGGAUGGAGUAGCUGCACACCUGGCAGAUUUUCUCAUUGUCUUCUCUACAGAAAAAGCUCAAGUUUUCCUGGUGCUUGGCACACCACCCCUCUCGGAUGGACUGGGGCUCCUCAAGGCAUGGCAUCAGCUGCUUGGCCAGCUGUACCAUGUUCUGCAUCUUCCAGUUGGAUCAUUGAAGAAGCCUCCACAGACUGGGCAGGUCAGAAGGUCCCGCAUGCCCUUGGACAGUCUCCAUGCAGUCUGUGCUCCUACUGGAAAAGAAGCCACAAUAAGAAUGAGAAUCAGCUCCACUUCCCUCAAUUCAAAGCCCAGGGAUAGGGCAGAGUGCAUGAGCCCCGCUGCCCACAGCCAGAGAGUGGGGCUCAAGGAAGACCACACACAUGCAGCACACCUAGGAACCUCUCAGUAGGAAGAAGGGGAUUCCAACAGGGAGGUGAAGUGCUGAGAUUAAAGAAAAGGGAAGAUCAGCUAGGCCAAGCCCUUCAGGAUUCAGAAGGAGAAGAUCGAGAUGGACCCCAUGGAGGUGACUUCCCUAAAGGCCUCCCUACACCUCAGAUAGCACGAGCUCCUGAUGGCCAGUUUUUCAUACAGCCAGCGCCCCAGUGCAGUCCUGGUGUUGAGGGCCAGCCCUGGGAUGGAAGUGCCCAGGUUCGAGGGACAAACAUUUGGUGGGUAUGUUUAGGCAGAAGAACUGCCUGUGUCUGAAGGGUGGCAGAAGGGUGGUGGUUCUUGACCUCUGUCAGGCUCAAGACAGUCUUUCUUUCCAGGUCCACAAGUCCAUUCCACAAACACAGAUGAAACACUGAACUCCAGAGUUCAGCUAAGAUGGGACCAAGACACUCGGGUCUUAGAGUGAGUCUAAGGCUGGGAACCAGAGAAGGGCCUAAAGCACAGGAAAUUCUCCCUGCAGGUACUCACCUUCACUGACAGGGUCCCUCCUCUUCUUCAUUUCCUUCAAAGGCUGGGUUUCUCAGCUUCUCUGCUGUGCUGCCUCUGCCAGGUUCUAGCUCCAGGAAGGUCUGCCUCUCAGGCUCUGGCUCCCCUGAAAUUUCUAUCAGCCCCUGACCACAGAGAUUCAGACCUGCGGGAAGUAUGAACUCUGGAAAAUCACACCUUCCCAGAAUCUCAGAGUUGGAUUCCCUAUGGACCUUAGCUGAAACCCAAACCCCAGAACAAAUACCACUCCAACCUCCUUCAGAGGGAGCUAUCCAGCCUUUCCUUCAGGUCUUCCUGUGAACUAGACUCACUAUCUCCUGGGGCAAUCUUUUCUGCUUUGGAAACAUCUCUUUUUAGAAAAUCUUCUCCACCUGGAGUUUAAGUAUCUUUUUAUCACCUCCAAUCUGGCUCCUAAUUCUCCCAAUCAAAGAGAACAGUCCUAUCUCUCUUUCUCCUGAUGGACAACAAGAACA
rnacentral:lncRNA from 1 species